rnacentral:tRNA from 1 species
GGGGAUUUAGCUCAGCGGUAGAGCGCUUGCCUUGCAAGUGCAAGGCCCUGGGUUCGAUCCCCAGCUCCG